rnacentral:rRNA from 1 species
GGAUGGUUAGCUGGUCUGAGAGGAUGAUCAGCCACACUGGAACUGACACACGGUCCAGACUCCUACGGGAGGCAGCAGUGAGGAAUUUUGCGCAAUGGGGGAAACCCUGACGCAGCAACGCCGCGUGAGUGAUGAAGGCCUUGGGUCGUAAAGCUCUGUCAAGUGGGAAGAAACUACUUUAGGCCAAUACCCUGAAGUACUGACGGUACCACUGAAGGAAGCACCGGCUAACUCCGUGCCAGCAGCCGCGGUAAUACGGGGGGUGCAAGCGUUAUUCGGAAUUAUUGGGCGUAAAGGGCGCGUAGGCGGUCUGGUAAGUCAGAUGUGAAAGCCCGGGGCUUAACCCUGGAAGUGCAUUUGAUACUGCCUGGCUUGAGUAUGGGAGAGGGAAGUGGAAUUCCUGGUGUAGAGGUGAAAUUCGUAGAUAUCAGGAGGAACACCGGUGGCGAAGGCGACUUCCUGACCAAUACUGACGCUGAGGCGCGAAGGCGUGGGGAGCAAACAGGAUUAGAUACCCUGGUAGUCCACGCAGUAAACGGUGAUCACUAGGUGUAGCGGGCAUUGACCCCUGCUGUGCCGAAGUUAACGCAUUAAGUGAUCCGCCUGGGGAGUACGGCCGCAAGGCUAAAACUCAAAGGAAUUGACGGGGGCCCGCACAAGCGGUGGAGCAUGUGGUUUAAUUCGACGCAACGCGAAGAACCUUACCUGGACUUGACAUCCCGGGAAUCCUGUGGAAACACAGGAGUGCCCUUCGGGGAACCCGGUGACAGGUGCUGCAUGGCUGUCGUCAGCUCAUGUCGUGAGAUGUUGGGUUAAGUCCCGCAACGAGCCAACCCCUAUCUUUAGUUACCAUCAUUUAGUUGGGGACUCUAAAGACACUGCCCCGGUUAACGGGGAGGAAGGUGGGGAUGACGUCAAGUCCUCAUGGCCUUUAUGUCCAGGGCUACACACGUGCUACAAUGGUAUGUACAAAGAGUAGCGAUGCCGCGAGGCUCAGCCAAUCUCAUAAAGCAUAUCUCAGUUCGGAUUGGAGUCUGCAACUCGACUCCAUGAAGUUGGAAUCGCUAGUAAUCGUGGAUCAGCAUGCCACGGUGAAUACGUUCCCGGGCCUUGUACACACCGCCCGUCACACCAUGAGAGUUGGUUGUACCAGAAGUUGUUGGGCCAACCCCUUUAGGGGAGGUAGGCACCUAAGGUAUGGCUGAUAAUUGGGGUGAAGUCGUAACAAGGUA